rnacentral:lncRNA from 1 species
GUAAUACUGAGGUUGAGUGGUGCAGGAGGCAUGGGAAAAGGUGAAAGUAUUGCAUUAGGUGGAGGAGGAGGAGGAUGUACGUAGCUUAGGGUCGAUAUAAUGAAGGUUUGUCUGCAUACUCGGGUCCAGAGCUCCUGCUGUGUAUAUUAGGCAAUGAAAUAAUCCACUGACAUGCUCUGACUGCUCAAAACAGGACUCCCAGGGCAAAGUGCCAUCCGUGCUUACUCACCCCGCUGGAUAGCAUUGUCUGCAGUUUUUCUCAAACUGUUUCUACAGGUAUUCAGCCUUGGUGGUGGAGAGGGACCUGGAAUUCUCUAAGAAGCUGUACUUCAGGAAAAGGCCAUGUGAAUGUGAACACAGCAGAGAUUUGACUUGGUGUCCCUGUCUACAAAUACAGAGGGGAAAAAGUGGAAAGAGAAAGCCUCCCCUGGGAAGAAAGGGAGUGAUCCCAUUAUAAAUGAGAGUCAUACAACAUCCCUUCUGGAGGCGUGUUGAAAUUUCCCGUGGGAGGAAGAAGAAUAAACAAAGCAGCUGGAAGCAGUAUGUGCAACAUGCUAAUUUGUAUAGGCAGUGUGUAUUAAAGAACAUCAGCUCUUGUACAGGUAAGUAACCUUGAACUAUAUGUGGAGGGAAAGUUAUUUGGUAGUGAUGGGAAAUUCUUGUCUGCCAUCUCACCAGCAGAAGAUUUGAAAUGUCAUCCCACCUCAUACAUUUCUCACAAAAUUCAAAAUAAGCAUUCACAAACUAAGGAACAGCUAAGCAAUUUUAUGAUUAUGUAGAAUAAACUAAUACAAAAGUUACUAAGUGCA